CUAAAGAAAUAGAGUACUUUUUUUUUUUUUAAAAGAUUAAGACAAAAGAGGACAUGCCUCGUGAUGUACAGUUCCUUUCCACAACGUUGGAGAAGAAGCUGGGCCUUGUGUCUGCGCCUUCAUAUUCCUGCAACUUCUCAGAGUCCUUUGGGCAGUGACUGAGGAGAUAAACCAUGCAGGAAACAAUG
ensembl:snoRNA SNORA73 Small nucleolar RNA SNORA73 family